rnacentral:rRNA from 1 species
UGGGGAAUUUUGGACAAUGGGGGAAACCCUGAUCCAGCCAUUCCGCGUGAGUGAAGAAGGCCUUCGGGUUGUAAAGCUCUUUCAGCAGGGAAGAAACGGUUUUGGAUAAUACCCAGAGCUAAUGACGGUACCUGCAGAAGAAGCACCGGCUAACUACGUGCCAGCAGCCGCGGUAAUACGUAGGGUGCGAGCGUUAAUCGGAAUUACUGGGCGUAAAGCGUGCGCAGGCGGUUUUGUAAGACAGAUGUGAAAUCCCCGGGCUCAACCUGGGAACUGCGUUUGUGACUGCAAGACUUGAGUAUGGCAGAGGGGGGUAGAAUUCCACGUGUAGCAGUGAAAUGCGUAGAGAUGUGGAGGAAUACCGAUGGCGAAGGCAGCCCCCUGGGUCAAUACUGACGCUCAUGCACGAAAGCGUGGGGAGCAAACAGGAUUAGAUACCCCCGUAGUCC